rnacentral:lncRNA from 1 species
UAUCUUCAAAUCAGACUGCAGCGAGAGAGGUCACUACACAAGGGCACAGGCAGGUGAGCUGGCAACAGCCCUGCCUGUGAGCCCUGGGCCUACACACUUACGAUUGCCUGGCUGCAUGCUGGAAACCACCCAGACACACACAGGCAGGUGCUGCCCCUCCUCCCGGGUGGAGGAAGCAGGAAAAGGUGGCAGCCAGAGGUGGCGGGCAAGGCUGCUGGGCUGUGGUGGCUGGGGCCCCAGCCAGGAUGGGCUCGGUCUGUGCUCUGGCUCUGCCCCUUCUAAUCCUCUGCUGGGAGGCUGGGGACUCCUGGAACUUUAAAGACCCCAGCCCCAGCGGACCAUGCCCACUGGUGACGACAAACACCACUAAGGUGCUUACCGAGAUGCCAGGGAUCAGCACAAGCUUGGAGGAAGCCUUCCUGACCACUGACCUUGCUAAGACCACAGCACCAGGCCGCCUUUCUGUGGAGACUCCAACCCUGGGCACUGAGACCCUUUCCAAGACCUUAACCUCAGCUGCCGCUGCUUCCAAAGAAGAGACCAAGGACACUCGGACCAUUUCCCUUGCUCAGACACCUGGGAAGUCCAGACCACCUUUUCCUGUCACAAAGUUCAGGGACACACAGACCCCUUUCCCUGACACAGAAACCAGGGACCCCCAGACCACCUCCCCUGUCACAGAUACCAGAGACACCCCAACCAUUCCUUCUGCAUCAGAGAGCAGGUAUACCCAGACCAUUUCCCCGGCAUCAGAUUCCAGCACACUCACAAAAAUAAUCCCUUCUGACCCCAUGGCUGCAAUCACCUUCCCUGUAGAGACUUUGGCCACAGGCAGCAGCUCCAUGAGGACUAGAGAGACCACAGUUGAGGCUCAUCCAGGCAGGAACCCCAGGAAAGUCAUCUCUGACACCCUUUAUACCGAUGACAGCUCUGAGGAGGCAAGAUGGAUCACAACCAACAUCUUGACACUGGUGCACACCACUGGGGAAGCUGAGAGCCUGUCCUCCUACAGCAGAUUUUCCUCAGACAACUCUGUGGCCAUCAUCACCACCUCCCAAGCCCUGGGUCCUGACAUUGCCACCCCCAGCAAGGCCUUGGCCCCUUCCAGCACUACCCACAAUAAGUUCCUCAGGAAGACAGAAACAGCUGCCGUCAUCUCUGGGACUUCAGACACAGAUCACAGCUCCACGGGAGUGAAGGUCUUGUCCACCUCUGAGACAUCAGUUUUGUCUGCCUCCACUGAGGCAAAGUCACCCAGGCCCAGCCCCACAUCCCCUGCUGAGACCCUGUCCACAGCCAGUGCCUCAGAGUUAGCCACCCCCAACACCACCCUUGAGGCCUCACUGCCCAAUAGCACCACAGAAACAGAAGUAACACCAGGCUCGACCCCUACCCCUGGGGAAACUCAGGUGACAGUUAGCAUGGCCCCCUUGGGAGAAACCUCAGCCCUCUCUCAACAGAGCUACACCACGGUGUCAGGAGCAGUUACAGUCUCCGCCAAGGCUGCGUCAACAGUGGACGAAAUGACUUCCUCUGCUGGAUCUCCAGCUUCAGUCUCCAGCUUUUCAGAAGGGCCCACCGUCACGAACUCCACCCUUUCAGAGACUUUUACCACAGAAGACACAACCAGCAGAGCUGUCUCCACCAGCAGGGGCCUUUUUCUUUCUGUCCAUCUGACUACAGCCAGCAGCAGCCAAGAGACAAACAUCUCAGCCAUGACCAUGACCUCACCAAAAACCCCUUCAGAGACUUUUACCCCAGACAGGGCCUUCCCCACCAGCAGCUCUCUUUCUCCUGUCCAUCUGACUACAGCCAGCAGCGGCCAAGAGACAAGAGUCACCUCAGCCAUGACCAUGACCUCACCAAAGGCCGCUUCAGAGACUUUUAUUACAGAGGGCACAACCAGCAGGGCCUUCUCCACCACGAGCAGCCCUCUUUCUUCUGUCCUUCCAACUACAGCCAGUCUCAGUCAAGAGACAACCGUCAUCUCACCCUUGACCAUGACCUCACCAAAGGCCCCUUCAGAGACUUUUACCACAGAGGGCGCAACCAGCAGGGAUUUCCUCACCAGCAGGAUCUCUCUUUCUUCUGUCCUUCCAACUACAACCAGCAGCAGCCAAGACACAAGAGUCACCUCACCCAUGACUGUGACCUCACCGAAGACCCAGAGGAAGCCCCCAACAGCCAUAUCCUCCACUGUUUGGACAAGGCUGACUCCAGAAGUUACUGCAGGUGGAGAUGGAGGCUUCCUCCUCAUGAGGCUGAGAGUGGCCUCCACAGAAGACCUCACAGAGCCUACAAAGGCAGAGAGGCUGGGUCAGCAGUUCUACCCAGGCAUCAGGAUGGGGUGGGGGGAACCUGUUUCCUCAGGCAUCUCGGUUUCUUCUCCCCCUGCCUGCUCAAUCCGUGUUUGGCUUGUGGGCCACAUUUCUCUGGAAGGUAACCAGUCUUCCUUUGCUAGGUAGCUAUUGUUUCACUUCAGCAGNNNNNNNNNNNNNNNNNNNNNNNCAGGAGUGGAGUAGUUUUUUGGUUUUGGUUUUGGUUUUUUGAGACAGGGUGACACCACGUAGUUCAGGCUGCCCUUGAACUCACUAUGUAACCGAGGCUGGCCUCAAACUUUUGACAAUCCUCCUGCCUCAGCCUCCAGAGUGCUGGGAUUCCACCACCCCAUCCAAGCCCUCUUCUUCCCCAGGCUUCCUUGAGUGAGAGUUCUACAGACUUUUGGGGAAACAGAGGGAAAGUGUUUGCCUGUGGCUGUCCUCAGUCCUGAGAUGUCAUCUGGGCCCAAACCCCUCCUGCCAGGGCCUGCUCCUGGCUCACCUGUGCAGUGCCUCCCGUCCCCAGUCAUGAACCGGGGGCAGGCGCCACAGCCCCUCCCAGGGAUGCACUGCACAUUCGGGAAGCACCGCUCAUCACAGGGGUCCUUGGAGCGUUCACAGUGGCGACCAAAGGUGUCCUUGCCACACUGGCAGCUGGCCUCCUGCAACAGGGUGAUCAGGAAGCUAAACCAGUAACGGGCUUCUGGUUCUCUUCACUGACUCCUCUUAUGCGGGAGCCAUAAAUCCUGAGUACUUGCCUUAGUUCUGUUUUGCUUUGUUUUGUUUUGUUUGAGACAUCGUUUUGCUAUAUAAUCCAGGCUGGCCUCAAACUCACCAUGGCUAGCCUGGAACUCACAGCAAUUCUCCUGCCCUAGCUUCCCCAGUGCUGGUAUUGCAGGCUUGCUCCACUUGGCUCAGUUCUGCCAGCAUCUCCCGAACACCCUGGCCAGGCUGGGCCUGCAAGUCCCUGCCUAACACCACACCGUCCUCCUGCUGCUCAGUGUCCCUGGCCCCUGGUUUAGCCCUGCAGCAGGACUGCAGCCUUGUCCCUCUCACACACAUCUCCUUCCUGAGAUCCUUGAUGGAUUCAGAUGGGGAGGGCAAAAGGAGGAAAGAAGAAAGCAGACGGGGCAAGAUUCGUGGAUGUCAGUCAAGUAUCUUGGCUUAAAACUUGGAUAGAAAGGAUUUUCUCCAAACCAAAAAAGAGAUGGUUCCUUAAGCUGGGGGAGAGAGUGAAAGAGAAGACAAAGGGGCAUGGGGACCUACUCUCCUCUUCCUGUCACCAUGGCAAUGAGACCCCAGAGGACACGUUUGUGUGCUGCUCUGGGCAGACUGGGUACAGGUGGCCACCUGGAGAUGGCUUCCUGGCCCGAGCACAGGGCAGCCAGGGACACAGGCAGAGCUGGGGCAGAGGUCGGUGCAGACCUCUACCAGGGAGCAGAGACCUUCCCACCCGACUCGGUGCAGAGGCAAGGCCGAGGUGGGCAUUUCCUACCGGACAUGUGGGACGCAGUGAGCUGAGCUGCUAGCAGACAGAAAGUUCUGCUUCUUCACAUUGAGUCUCGCUGUCCAUACCCUUCCCAUGCCCUUUCCCCCCUACACAGAGAGCACCCACCGCUCACCUCUAGGGAGGAGUUGCCCACCCGGCGGGUCUGGUUGUACAGACACUGGCUCCUUGAACUGCAAAAGCGGGCCACUGUCUUGGGCUGGAGGACAGAUGACAAGCCAGUCUUGGGGUCUUGCACUAGAAUCUCCAGGGUGACUGGUUCUGGUGAGUUUGGGGCCCACAGCAAAGUCCCAUUCUCUGUGCAGGGAAGAGGAGGUGGUUAGGGGCUGGGAGACGCCUCUGCCCUGUGGGCUGAUUCAGCCUGGCAUCUGACCCCGAAUGGCAAGUGGUGGGCUGUCCCCCUCUCCGGGUAACCCCCAAGUCUCAUCAGAUGUCUCCUUUGAGCAAGGGUGGAAUCAUGGGGUGACUGAGGCCUUGUCCCAAGGUAGAAGGGGGCAGCACCAGCCCUCCUCACUGCCCACAAGUGGAACCUCACAAAGGGAAGCCCCUUUGCCCCUGCAGAGCCCCCUGCCUGGACCUGGGCCACCAUGAGGUACCU